GACGAACGCUGGCGGCGUGCUUAACACAUGCAAGUCGUACGGUAAGGCCCUUUCGGGGGUACACGAGUGGCGAACGGGUGAGUAACACGUGAGUAACCUGCCCACAACUUUGGGAUAACGCUAGGAAACUGGUGCUAAUACUGGAUAUGUGCUCCUGCUGCAUGGUGGGGGUUGGAAAGCUCCGGCGGUUGUGGAUGGACUCGCGGCCUAUCAGCUUGUUGGUGGGGUAGUGGGCUACCAAGGCGGCGAGGGGUAGCCGGCCUGGGAGGGUGACCGGCCACAUUGGGACUGAGAUACGGCCCAGACUCCUACGGGAGGCAGCAGUGGGGAAUAUUGCACAAUGGGCGCAAGCCUGAUGCAGCAACGCCGCGUGCGGGAUAACGGCCUUCGGGUUGUAAACCGCUUUCAGCAGGGAAGAAGCUUUUUGUGACGGUACCUGCAGAAGAAGCACCGGCUAACUACGUG
rnacentral:rRNA from 1 species